UACGGGGGGGGCAAGCGUUGUUCGGAAUUACUGGGCGUAAAGGGCUCGUAGGCGGCCAACUAAGUCGGAUGUGAAAUCCCCAAGCUUAACUUGGGAACUGCAUCCGAUACUGGAUGGCUUGAAUCCGGGAGAGGGAUGCAGAAUUCCAGGCGUAGCGGUGAAAUGCGUAGAUAUCUGGAGGAAUACCGGUGGCGAAGGCGGCAUCCUGGACCGGCAUUGACGCUGAGGAGCGGAAGCUAGGGGAGCAAACGGGG
rnacentral:rRNA from 1 species